AUUGAACGCUGGCGGCAGGCCUAACACAUGCCAGUCGAACGGUAACAGGAAACAGCUUGCUGUUUCGCUGACGAGUGGCGGACGGGUGAGUAAUGUCUGGGAAACUGCCUGAUGGAGGGGGAUAACUACUGGAAACGGUAGCUAAUACCGCAUAACGUCGCAAGACCAAAGAGGGGGACCUUCGGGCCUCUUGCCAUCGGAUGUGCCCAGAUGGGAUUAGCUAGUAGGUGGGGUAACGGCUCACCUAGGCGACGAUCCCUAGCUGGUCUGAGAGGAUGACCAGCCACACUGGAACGGAGACACGGUCCAGACUCCUACGGGAGGCAGCAGUGGGGAAUAUUGCACAAUGGGCGCAAGCCUGAUGCAGCCAUGCCGCGUGUAUGAAGAAGGCCUUCGGGUUGUAAAGUACUUUCAGCGGGGAGGAAGGGAGUAAAGUUAAUACCUUUACUCAUUGACGUUACCCGCAGAAGAAGCACCGGCUAACUCCGUG
rnacentral:rRNA from 1 species